AGCGGCGGACGGGUGAGUAACGCGUGGGUAACCUGCCUCAUACACAUGGAUAACAUACCAAAAGGUAUGCUAAUACAAGAUGAUAUAAGAGAUUCGCAUGGAUUUCUUAUCAAAGCUCCGGCGGUAUGAGAUGGACCCGCGUCUGAUUAGCUAGUUGGUAAGGUAACGGCUUACCAAGGCGACGAUCAGUAGCCGACCUGAGAGGGUGAUCGGCCACAUUGGAACUGAGACACGGUCCAAACUCCUACGAGAGGCAGCAGUGGGGAAUAUUGCACAAUGGGCGAAAGCCUGAUGCAGCAACGCCGCGUGAGCGAUGAAGGCCUUCGGGUCGUAAAGCUCUGUCCUCAAGGAAGAUAAUGACGGUACUUGAGGAGGAAGCCCCGGCUAACUACGUGCCAGCAGCCGCGGUAAUACGUAGGGGGCUAGCGUUAUCCGGAUUUACUGGGCGUAAAGGGUGCGUAGGUGGUUUCUUAAGUCAGGAGUGAAAGGCUACGGCUCAACCGUAGUAAGCUCUUGAAACUGGGAAACUUGAGUGCAGGAGAGGAAAGUGGAAUUCCUAGUGUAGCGGUGAAAUGCGUAGAUAUUAGGAGGAACACCAGUAGCGAAGGCGGCUUUCUGGACUGUAACUGACACUGAGGCACGAAAGCGUGGGGAGCAAACAGGAUUAGAUACCCUGGUAGUCCACGCCGUAAACGAUGAGUACUAGGUGU
rnacentral:rRNA from 1 species